UCCUCGACCUCUGAUGGCUUCUACAUCUCUCAAGAGAAAUAUAUUCAGGAUCUUCUCGCUCGAGCUGCUCUCAGUGAUGACCGCACCGUUGUGACUCCUAUGGAGCUCAACGUUCAGCUUCGUGGCUCUGAUGGUGACCCUCUUCCUAAUCCCACUCGCUAUCGUCACCUCGUUGGUAGCCUUGUCUAUCUUGCUGUUACGCGUCCUGACAUCUCCUAUCCUGUUCACAUCCGGAGUCAGUUUGUUUCAGCCCCCACCUCUGUCCACUAUAGUCACCUCCUCCGUGUUCUACGAUAUCUUCGUGGCACGAUCUCUCAGCGCCUUUUCUUUCCCCGCUCCAGUUCUCUCGAGCUCCAGGCUUACUCUGAUGCUACCUGGGGUAGUGAUCCCUCUGAUCGACGCUCGCUGUCUGCUUAUUGUGUCUUUCUUGGUGGCUCUCUUAUUGCCUGGAAGACAAAGAAACAGACUGCAGUUUCUCGCUCGAGUACAGAGGCUGAGUUGCGAGUCAUGGCUAUGCUGACGGCUGAGGUGAUCUGGUUACGGUGGUUACUUGAGGAUUUUGGUGUGUCUGCUGCUACCUCGACU
rnacentral:rRNA from 1 species